UGAGUAAACCGGAUGGCCGCGGGUUGCCCUUCAAGGGCAGCCUGAGGAAAGUCCGAGCUCCACAGGGCAGGGUGCUGGAUAACGUCCAGUGGGGGCGACCCCAAGGAAAGUGCCACAGAAACAGACCGCCUGGCGGUUUUUGAGGGCCGCCGGGUAAGGGUGGAAAGGUGAGGUAAGAGCUCACCAGCAGUUAGGCGACUAACUGGCUAGGCAAACCCCACCCGGAGCAAGACCGAAUAGGGGGGCAGUCAAGGGGUGGCCCGCCCCGCCCCCGGGUAAGGUCGCUCGAGGUGCCAGGCAACUGGCAUCCCAGAUAGAUGGCCAUCCUCGACAGAACUCGGCUUACAGGUUUGCUCAGAGG
rnacentral:RNase_P_RNA from 1 species